AGCUCUCGCGCCUCGCGCUCCACGCAGGCGCGGCCGGCGCGGGCCACGCGGCGCCAGAAGGUGGCGUUGAAGUGGUCGUAGAGGCCGGCGUCGAGCGCGUUCCAGGCGCGCGCCGCGCGGGCCAGCGCCGCGGGGAUGGCGGCCAGGCGCGAGCUGGCGGCGCGCGCGUUGAGCUUGGCGUAGAGCACGUCGUCCAGGUCCCAGGCCAGCAGGCGCCGCAGCAGCACGAGCGACUCGUCGAAGUACUCGGCGAUCAUGACCAGUGAGAAGACCUCCUCCACCUGGCGGAUCAGGCCCGCCAGGUAGGCGGCGUCGUCGCGCGGGCUGCGCUCGUUGUCGCCGCCCAGGUCGUAGGCCAGCGUGUUGUGCGCGAACAUGGCGAAGUGCUCGCCCGCGCGGUAGUAGGCCUCGGGCGCGCGCAGGAAGGCCUCGAGCGACGCGUUGGGCACGCGCCGGAAGGCCGGGCAGUACUGGUUGUAGUAGCUGAAGAGCGACUCGAACAUGGUGGCCGGCUCGCGCAGGAUGGUGACAUAGACGGUGCCCGGCGGCAUGAGGCGCGCGAGCUCGGCGCGGUCGAAGCGCAGGUGGCUGGCCAGCACGUGCGGCGGCCGCGUGGCCGGGUGCACGAAGUGCGCCGAGAAGUUGCGUGGGUAGCAGAACUGGUGCUCGCAGCUCGGAUGUGGCAGGGCCACCGUCAGGUUGUGGCGCUCGGCGAAGCGGAAAAGGAUGUUCUGCACCGUCGUGCCCGCCGUCUUGUGCGUCUUCAGGAAGGCCACGGUCAUGUGCUUGGGGCGCGGUGGAGAGUCCCGCAGAGGAGGGCAGCUCAGGGGGAACAGCUUGGGGAUAACUCAUGCAGGGGAAACAAGCUGCCAUAUUGUCAGCAACCCAAUGGAGAGGUACCAGUGGCAACAGCUCCGGAGGAACUGGGCCCUCAGUCCAUCAGCCUGUUUGAAGAACUGAAGGCUGCCAACAACCACGUGAGUGAACUUGGAAGAAGAGCCCUUCCAGUCAGGCCUUCGGAUGAGACUGCAUCCCCAGCAGCCAGUUUGAUUGCAACCCCACAAGAGACGUUGAGCCAGAGGUACCCAGCUAAGCCAUACCUGGAUUCCUGACCCACAGAAGGGAGAUAAUCAAUGUUCCAUGUUUUCAGCUGCUGAGUUUUGAGGUAACUUGGCUACACACAAAUAGCUAACUAAUACAAGGACAAAGGCCCCUGGAGAUCCUUGAGGAAUUCCACUCUACAGAUGUAGAAACUGAAGACCAGAAGGAGAAAAAUCAUUUAUGUAAUUUUGGCGACUCAGAUAAAGUCACCAAAUCCUCUUGCUCUGUCUUUCUCAUUUUCACUCUUUCACUGGUUCCUCCCAUUGCAGAUGAGUAGCAUGAGCUUUAAGGCAACCCAUUUGUUAUAUGAUUCUGUUAAGGCCUCUGGAGCCUCAUUUAUUCAUUCAACAAAUAUUUUUUGAGCAUCUGCUAUGGGCCAGGCACUGUUCUAGGCUCAAGAAAUAUAAUAGUAUAAAAAACAGAUGACAAUCCUAGCCUUCAUGAAGCUUUCAUUUCUGUUUCCUCGUGCCUGCAACAAGGAUUUUGGGGGUUACAAUGACCUGUAAGUUCCCUUCAGACUUUGAGUCACUCUCCUGUCUCUUUUCUGCCAUCCUAAGCAUCGUGUGAUGAGGACAACUCGAUGCAACUUUGAGAAUACCAUUGAGAUUUCCGGUCUGUGGCUGGUUUGGGCUCAGGAUAAUGUCGGCACAGAUGCCCCUUCUAAAUACCAGCAAAUCAUCUGGCAAGGGGGACUGGGCCCAUUCACACCAUUCUUAUGGGCAGACCAUGUAGAAAAUGGGGAAGUUGAUGUUCUGAGGGGUUCAGGGGUUUGUUGAGUUCACACAGUGAGCCAGGAGCAGGGUCACGGCUCCUGUUAAUUGUCAUCCGGUAUCCUGUAUCAGGGUGACUGGCUGGGUCACACUUACUAUCAUUCUCAUUUUAUAGACGAAGUAACUGGGGCUCAGAGAAGUGAGGGGACUUGCGCAGCACAACAGAAGGAGUGAGAAGUUGUUUGCAGUCCUUUGGAGAGGCGCUCAGAAUGUGAUGCCGUGAGAAAUACUCGGGCUGGAUUAGAAUCCCCGCUUAGUCACUGACUAACUCUAUGACCUGGAGCCAGUCACUCAGCCCUUCCAAUGAAAACCAGCCCCUGCCCAGGGGCUCUAAAGAGAAUGUAUGGAAACCACUUUCAGAAUAGAGGGAAGGAGCAAAGCCGAGCAGAAGAUGGACUCUUCUGGCAGGUGGAAGGCAUGGGAAGGAGAGCUCCCAGUUCUGUAGCUAACCAGCCCGCUGGAGGAACGCAAUUCCCCUGGGCCCCGCCCCCUCACCGAGGCCCCGCCCCCUUACCAGCUGAGCUGCGCCCCCUGGUGGAUAAGGAGGCUUAAGGUGCUGCACCCUAGCACCAACAGCAGGAUUUUCCUGCGGCUGAUCAUCUUGGUGGCCUGCUGCAGGCGCUGGAGGAUGGGUGGCAUGAUGCGGUACCCACUCCUGGACCAGCCAGGGCCUCGCUAUCCAGGACUCCCUUCGCCGGCAGUCAUGGGGGCUCUUGGGGCUCUGGUAGCAGGGCCAGUGUUCCUGAGAGGCCUGGCAGAAGAAGGAGGCAAACAGGUUUGCAGUGAGCAGAGGAGAUGGGCUCCGGGCCCCAGCAGGACUGCUGCAAAGGAGAGCUCCAAAGAGUGGGACAAGGAAACUGAGGCUGUAAGAGAUAAUGCCACUUGUCUCUGGUCACACUGCUGGUAUUAGCAGAAUCGGGAUUCAGAUCUGCUCCUUCUGGCUCCAGAGUCCAUGCCCUUAGACAUUAUGUGUGCUGCUUCCACAGAGAACUGAUUUCCCUCUCCCUACCCUGGAUUCGGGCAGUUCAGCCUGCUUUUGAGCCCUCAGCCCUCCUAGCUGGGCUCCUAUGCUGAGGGCCCAAGACCAAUAAAUCCAUGAAGGAAAGAAAGGAAGGACUUGAAAUCCUGGAACCCUAUCUGGUUUCCAUCCCCAGACACCUGAAACCCUCGCCACCCCAGCAGCUGACUCUGCAGUGAGAGGUGCCUGGCCAAGGCAGUGGGAUGGCAGCCUGGGAGGGGGGUUGGGGGAAUACAGAGGGGCUCCUGCGUGCUGCCUGCUGAGAAUCUCCAGGAGAAGGUGGGCCUGCAUCCCAGGUGAGCAGCAGGAGUGAGAGGCAAGAGAAGGGCCUGGUUUCCGGCCAGUCACCUGUCCCCACACGAGUGUCUGGGCUCAAGAGCAGCCCGGCCCUUGGCAGCUUCAGUGGAAAGUCAACUUCAGCAGCCACGCCUGUCCCCUGGCUAGGGUGGGGUCUCUGUCUCAGGGGCCUCAGUCUCCACGUUUGUUUGGGUUCAGCUUGAGCCCCACGUACACCCCUCUCGAAAGGGGAGGGGUAGCCUGGAACCUUAUGGGCAUGUGCAUGUGUGUGGAACUAGGACACCUGCGUCCCAGGAGGGGUGAGGUAAUGUGAAAACUCUUUUGACCAUCACCUUCUUCUGGGGCCCUGGGCUUGGCUCCCAGUCCCCGCCCCCCCUCCAUUAAUCCUGGAUUACAUUUAAACCUGUUUGGGUGGAAAGAUGUCCUGGUGAUGCCUUUUCCUUCUCCCCAGGCCCCAUCAUCUGGUUUCCUCCACCAGCCUGCAGACAGACUUAAUCUGCCUGGAGCCGAGGAGGGUGAAGGGUCCAGCCAUAGAGGGCAACCAAGGGCAUGGCAGAAAAAGCCCAAGAUGCCGCCCCUGCCGCAUGCACACCUUCUUCCCUUUGUUACUCAUCCUGCCUAGAGGACUUAGUGACCAGACUGAGAGUUUCCCAAGGCUGGGGGGCCAGCCUAUUCCCACUUUUGCUAAACUCACUGAAACCACCCUAUUUCUCAGAGGACUCUGGGUCAGCCAAGGAGGUCAAGCCUGGAGGGAGCUACAGUGGGCCUUUCCCUGGGAGACACUUCAACCAGGCCACACAGAGAAGGUGAUGGGGUACUUGGUGGCCUCCUCUAUCCCACUCCCCUCCAUGGCUUAGCCCUGGGGACCCAGCCAGCCAGACCCCAGUCUGACGCCCACUUAGAACAGGGCAUCAUCAGUGCAAGAAUUCCCUGGACCCCAGCCCUCCCAGGUGGGCACCAGUUUCUGUUUGGCCACGGUCAAUGAUGCGACGUUCAUCACCUUCAGAUACAGCCUGGCCCAUUUCUGAGCAGCCUUGGCUGUUCAGAAGUUCUUUCUGGGACACUAGGAUUAGUCUACUGCUGGUAGUGCCUUUCUCAGCUUGUCUCCUUCCACCUUCCACUCUGUAUGGUUGCUAGCGCUGCCUUCCUAGGCCACAUGGACCAUUUUUCUCCAUGACAGACCUUCAGGUAUUUGAAAGCAGUAAGCCUGUCUCCUCUGGGUGGGCACUUGGCCAGCCUCAACAUUCCAGGUCCCGAGGAGGGUGCUGCUUGGACACUGGAGGAGGCCUCCCUUCCCUGGCAAGUUCACUCCACAAUGUCUCUUCUCCCUAUGCAGUCAAGGCACUGGCACCUGGGAAGGGGGCCACCUGGGGCUAGGUUUCUAUGUGUAAUUUCCAGGCUGGUGUAGGGUGGGUGGCGGUCCGGGGCAGGCUUCAGAGCAACGGCCCUGGCUCCUGCACCUCACAUGCUUCAAACUACUCCCCAGCCUCCCCCGUGUCUUCUCCACGAAGAGAGUUUCCCACAGCCGUCCCAGACAGGUCAGGGUGCCCAGCCUCAUCAGAAUAUCAGUGCUAAUUUUAGUCAGAACAGCCUACCUCAGGCUACUGCCCAGUUUUGCAAAUUGCUUUUCUUUCUCCAGGGAACCAAAGAAGAAAGGGGAUAGCUAGCCAGAGCUUUGAAAACUGGCCUGGACGCCCACCCACUCCCAAAUGAACCCUUUUCUCUCUCUCCUCCAAGCUCUAGGGCUAAUACUGGUGCCUUUAGAAGAGGAGGGUGCCCUGGCCUGGAACACCUGGACCUGACCGUUGGAUGACCUGGAGACUCCAUCCUUACUUGAGGAUGGCACAGCCCAGUGAUUAGGGAAACUGCCUAGGGCACUAGAGAGGAAAGGGACAAGGGCUGAGGGGGCUUCGAAUUAGUGGCCUAGGAGAUCAAAUAUCUUUCCACCUCCCUCUUUUUCUUCCCUUUUUCCCCCCAGCCGGCUCCAGGUCCCAACCAGCCCCCUCUCUCUGCCAUCCACCGGGCCCGUCAUUCCUGCCUCCGAAUUCCCUUCAUCCUCCUCUCUCCAUCACUAUCCCCCAAGCCCCCAUUCCCUCAAUUUUAUUGCAACCUCUCCCAGGGAUCCGGUCACCGGGGUCUGGUCACCAUAGGAGAUAGGCCAGAUUCUCCCUCUCACCCCUCCCUCUCCCACUCCCCAGGGGACAGAGCGCCCCCAAUCUCAUGCUCUCCAGGCACUAGGCCCGCACGACACUCUCCCGCCCACCCCUCAUCCCCCAUCCCGAUCUGGUCCACCCCCGCCCCAGGCCGGCCACUGCAGUACUCACGGCGCGCGGGCUCUGCCGGGGUGGUCGCCGGUCGCCGCUACCUCCGAACCCUUGUCCCGAAAUCCGCUGCGGAUGCGAGGGCGCCGGGGGCCCUGCGUGCCGAGUGCCGGUCGCUUUCCUCUCCGCGCCUGGAUGGGAUCAGGUGGCGGCGUCCGCUCGGCUCCGCUCCUCUCAGCUCUGCCCGCCGCCCGCCCCCCAUCGCACACCGGAGGCGGGGCGGGGGCGGGGGCC